GAACCCUCUCCCUCACGCCUCACUCUCACACAAAACCCCCUCCCCCUUCGUUUUUCUUCUUCUUCACCGCAAGCGUCGGUCAGACGCCCCGUUAGUCGCUCCACUCCAGCCGCUGGUCAAACGCCCCGUUAGUCGCUCCACUCUAGCCGCCGGUCAGACGCGCCAGUCUCCCGAAUCCUGCCGGUCAGACGCACCGGCAGUCGCCCAGCUCCAGCCGUGCCUCUCUACGUCUUCACGCCGACUACCGGCCCCUGUUCACCGUCCGCCACUGCCGUGGUCUUGCUCUCGCCGGAUUCUCAAGAUUUGUGUAAGAUUGGGUCCCUUUAGAUUCGAGUUCAGUAUUAGGUGGUUCUGCAUUGUGUUGAUUUGGAUGGUUUCAAGUGAUUUGGAUUUCAAACCACAUCUUGGGUUAACAAUAUUUUGGUUUAACUUUGGCUGAUUUUGUUUGCAAAGUUUGGGAGCGAGUUCGGCUUAAACUCCAGCUUUGGGACUUUGAUCCAAGAUUAUUCCAUUCUAAGGAGAAGAUAAGAUAAUCUUGUUGGUUAUUUUGGGCUUAAGUCUGAGGAAAAGGUAAAGAUGCAUUGGCGAUGGCGCAGCGGAAUUCGUGAUCGUGUCACUAGGACUAGACUUUUUCGCUUCCGCAUCUUAAAAUUUGAGUCCUUAUUUUCCCCUUAAUAUUUAGUUUUACUGUUUGAAAUUUAUUUCUAAGGAUUUAUUUCUUUUAUAUACUUUUGUUAGUCUUUAA